GAAUUAUCUGAAAAAUUCUGAUAAGAAUGAAGAAUAUUUAGACAAAAAAUAUCAAUAAGAUACAAUUAGGGCACAUGCAUGCAUAGAAAGUGUUACAAAAGACAUUAAAUUUUGCCUUUGUGAUAUUUUCAGAUGUUUGUCCAGGAAAUCUUGAAUUUACAAAAGUCAAUGUUGAACGUUUUGUUGUUACAUCCAGGUACUUUUGGUGUUUAUAUGGUUAACAGCUAGGCUUUGUUUAUAAUGACACAUUUCGUGCUAGAUAUCAAUGUCUCUCAUAUUAUUUGUUUAUUUUUAUGAAUUGAUCUCAGGAUAUUUAUUAUUUAGUAAUGUUCAUCAAUA
rnacentral:lncRNA from 1 species